AUACGUAGGGGGCAAGCGUUAUCCGGAUUUACUGGGUGUAAAGGGAGCGUAGACGGAAGGCCAAGUCUGAUGUGAAAGCCCGCGGCUCAACUGCGGGACUGCAUUGGAAACUGGUCAUCUGGAGUGCAGGAGGGGUAAGCGGAAUUCCUAGUGUAGAGGUGAAAUGCGUAGAUAUUAGGAGGAACACCGGUGGCGAAGGCGGCUUACUGGACUGUAACUGACGUUGAGGCUCGAAAGCGUGGGGAGCAAACAGGAUUAGAUACCCUGGUAGUCCACGCCGUAAACGAUGAUUACUAGGUGUUGGUUGUCAUAGACAAUCGGUGCCGCAGCAAACGCAAUAAGUAAUCCACCUGGGGAGUACGUUCGCAAGAAUGAAACUCAAAUGAAUUGGCGGGG
rnacentral:rRNA from 1 species